rnacentral:rRNA from 1 species
GCCUGCAGCUCUCGCCUGGUUUCCCACGGAAGCUGAGCAGUGUUGAGCCUGGCCAGUACCUAGAUGGGAGACCUCUGGGGGAAAACUAAGGUUGCUGCGGGAA